rnacentral:lncRNA from 1 species
UACACACACACACACACAUAUACAUGUGUGCAAACAUACAUACAUACUCAUACACGCACACACACUUACAUAUACAUAUAUACACACACUUACACACAUAUAUACAUACACAUAUACAUACAUACAUACAUACAUAUAUGCAUACAUACACACACACAUAUAUAUAUACAUACAUACACAUACACAUACCUAUACAUAUAUAUACACACAUACAUAUACACAUGCACAUACUUAUAUCUCUACAUACUCGCAUAUAAAUAUAUAUAUAUAUAUAUAUAUAUAUAUAUAUAUAUAUAUGUAUACACACACAUACAAAUACCUAUAUACAUGUAUAUAUACACACACAUAUAUAUACACAUCUACAAUUUGUAUCUACACUCACAUACAUGCACAUACACAUAACUCUACAUACCUACAUAUACAUCGACAUACUCGCGUACACUCAUAUAUAUACACAUAUAUACAUAUACACACACACAUACAUAUACAUAUACAUAUAUAUAUAUAUAAAUAUAUACAUAAUACACAUAUACACACACAUACAUAUAUAUAUAUAUACACACACACACACACACACACAUACAUAUAUAUAUAUAUAUAUAUAUAUAUAUAUACAUACAUACACAUAUACAUACAUGUACAUAUAUAUAUACAUAUACAUAUAUAUACACACACAUACAUAUAUCAACAAUUGAGGGUAAAGUUAAUUAGUUAUUAAUCAAUUUCACCAAGUAUUCAGUAUGUAAAAGGACCAUUAUUUUUUUGAGUAAACAAUGUCUGAGGGAAAAUAUUCUCUAAGUAGUGGAAGAGGCUAAAAAACUUUUUUGGCUGCUAUUUCUAGAAAGUUCAGUAUGUGGCAAAGUCAUUUAUUUUACUAAGCCCUAAUUAUAUAAUAUUUUAUACAUACAUACACAUACAUACACACAUACAUAUACACAUACAUAUGCAUACACACAUAUAUACACAUAUACAUAUAUACAUAUAUACAUAUAUACACACACACACACACACACGCACAUACAUAUAUAUAUAUAUAUAUUUUUUUUUUACAUACAUACACACACACACACACAUAAUACAUGCGUAUAUUCCUACUAUACCCAUACAUUUCUAUACAUAUAUACAAUACACAUAUACAAGCGUGCACAUACAAUAUGUGAAAGGUCUUAGGAGAAAAGGUAAUCGGGGGUGCUAGGGGAACGGUGGGAUUGGGGGGUUUUGUGGGUGGGGUGUCAUCAAUCUGGUUGCCGGGUAGGCCUAUAGUUCUUGUAGUUCGCAUACUUCUUAUGCAUGCAAUUUGGGGAGUGUUCUGAGAUUUUGUUAAGGAGAGGGCCUUUGGCGAACAAGAUCUCUAGGCUCUCCGAUAUGCAGAGGUCACAGCAGGUAUGGCCUCCUGUGUACAAGCGCGCCUUCUGUAGUAGUUUCCACUUGGUCUUGAAGGGGAUGGAGUUCCUUUUAAGGUACCAGAUGUGGGCGGCGAGGGUAGUUUGGUUGGAUUUAUCCUGUCGCCGGAACGAGUGUGUGUGUGCGUACCAACGGGUCUUAAAGCUGUUUGACGUCAUUCCGAUGUAGGAUUUUCUUUUAUCGUCAGGGCCUGAUCUUACCUCGCAUGUAUAUACUAGGUCCCUCUGUAGGCAGUUGUUGUUGAGGGGGCAGGUGGUUUUAUCAGGGCAGUUGCAAUUGCUAUCGGACGUUGGAUGGGCCUCGGAAAAAGUAGAUAUGUUAAGUUUUUUCACAUUGUUGUUGGCUAGGUUCCUGGCUAGAUUGGGCGUGGUAGAGUAGGAGAGUCUAAUAGUGUUCUUAUUUAGGAUAGUGUAGUACUUAUGUUGGGUGGGGAAGUGUUUCUGUAGGAGAGUGAAGAAGAUUUUAGCUACAGGUGUAGCGACCUCACGGUUGAAGGUGGGGUUGUACCAGCUAAUGUGUCUUCGUCUAUUUUUCCUGGGUUGGCGUGGGGCUAUACUAGUAUAGGUAAUCUUAUCUUUAAAGCCACUGCGGGCCAGGGCCUCGUUGUAAUAGGGGGCUGCGGCCUUAAAGAUAUCUUCCGUGGCAGACAGUCUAGAAAUUCUAAUUGAGACACUUUUUACUAGGUUAUCUAAUAUAUUUUUGGGGUGGUUGGAAUUAAUAUCUAUAUAUCUAAGGGAUUCAUUCGGUUUGUGGUACGGGUAAUAAAGUGAGGUUUUUAAGUCGAGGGUGACAUCAAGGAAGUUAGCUUUUGUUAAGUUGGAUUCUAAGGUAAUCCUAAGGCCUAAGUUUUUAAAGAAGGUGUAAAGAUUUUUCCGGAACCCAUCCGUGGUCCUGGGGUUUAUUUUGUGGAGGGCGAAAAGGCCGUCAUCGCGGUAAAGACCACCGGAGAGGCCUGUGAAUAGGGUUUUCAGCCUAUGGAGGAUGAAAAGGCCCACUAGGUCACUUAUUUCAGCAGAGUCGUUAGCACCCAUGCUGACGUCGAAGGGGGUCACAGAUUUUUUGUUGAUCCAGUGGGAUCCGUCAUAGAAUAGAAAAGUCUUACGUGUGUGGAGGAUCACAUCUUGCUCGGCCUCGGUGAUGGUGGAGGACCUCCUGGCGAAGUUAAUCGCGUCGAUCAGCAAGCUCUCCGAUAUGGAGGCGUAGUAAUCCUCGAUAUCCAGUUGUAGGAAUCGGGUGUUGCUUUUGUCAGGUAAAUCCCGGAACCAGGUUAUUGCCUCGGAGGUCCUAUUCCAGAGUGGAAGGGGUGAAGCUUCACGCAUUUUUGGUAAAAUCCUGUCCAGGAUCUUCUUGCUGACGGAUCCGAUGUCAGACUUGGUUGGGUUAAUCAAACGGACCGACGGUUUAUUUUCGAAAUGGUCUUUGUGGUCUUUCAGGGUGAAGUGUGGGGACUUCACCCUCAGGGUUUCGGUUCGGUCAUCGAUUUUAAGGGAGGUGGCAAUCUCUUUCCCGGCUAAGUUGGUUUCACUUAGCGCUGCGUCGUCUACUUUCUUGUACUUAGCUGUGAUGGCGUUAUCGGCUAGUCUGUUGUAGGUAUCCGGAGUCACCGCAUAAAUAUUUUUUGUCUUGUCCAAAGGGACAUGGAGGUUCUGGGAGCUUUUCAUUUUCGAAAGCUUCUCGUUCAGUUCCGUUUGGAAAGGUAGGUUGACUCUCCUGAAUUUGAUGUUUUUUAUCAUGAGGAAGAGGUCUUCUUCAAACGGUUCAAGUAGGCUAUUGGUAGGAGGGGCCUUAUUUGAUUUGAAGCCGUACUUAUCAUUAUUGGUAGAUGCUACAUCAGGAUGGUCGAAGAAGAACAAUCUCCAUCGAAUUCUUUUGAUGAACUCAUCAGUCCGUCUAAUGAGGGCUUUUUGGUACUGUUUCCUUGGUGGGAUAGUAAUGUUCUUCAGGGAAGCGUCGAGGUCGAUUCUUGUCAGCAUUUUUUCUUGGUGAUGGUUAUAAGGGCACUAGGGUGUGCUAGGAUAUGUAGGUCCCGGGUUGAUUCGGGGUUAACCACAGUAAAUAAGGUACUCAAUACAUAGCAGAGUAAAAUUAAUUUAUUAUAUAGAAGGAGCUUCUACAGGACUAGAACUGUUUCAUUCAAGAGAAAUCUUCAGGAAGCUAGUUAACAAGAAUUGUAUUGGCAUUUAUACAUUUAGGCAGGUUUAAAGGGGUGUUGGUGGGGGACUUUUUGGGGGUAGGCAUAGCGCAAAAUAUCAUACUUGGGGGAGUGGUCAAGGAGUCAGUGUUAAAUUUGAUAGAAGAAUAAAUAAAAAAAUAAAAAAAUAUAUAUAUAAAAAAAAGGGAAUAGAGUUUUAGGUAAAUAAGGAGAUUCUCACUUAUACCUAUGCACAUAUGUAUACAUAUAUACACACACAUACAAACAUAUAUACAUAUACAUACACACAUACAUACACACACACAUAUAUACAUAUAUAUACACUUACACAUACAUAUACAUAUCUACACAUACACAUAUAUGUAUACAUACACACACUCACAUGCAUACACGUAUACACACAUGUAUAUAUACACACACGACCACACAUACAUAUACACACAGAAAAAUAUAUACACAUACACACACAUACUCACAUACACGCAUACACACACAUAUCCACACACACACAUGCACACACAGCACACUAGUCCCUAUAUACACAUAUAUACACAUACACACAUAUAUACACACACAUACAUAUACAUACAUAUAUAUAUAUAUAUAUAUACAUAUGUGUACCUAUGCAUACCUACACAUACACACAUAUAUAUACACAUACAAAUACAGACCCAUUCCCUAAUUUUAAUUUUAUUAUCUUCAUUUAUUACUUUUGUUAUCUUUGACCGCUGGUCACAAACAUCUUGGCUAUGACAGCCAGUCCAUUUAUCUGUCUACUGGAAAACAAGCACUCAUUCACUCACGCACACUCUUUAGCACGUACACUCACUCAUUCGUACACUCAUACACAUACACGCACGCACGCGUUAUAUUCAUACAUACAUACAUCUACAUACAUUCACGUAUAUACACAUACGUACGCGUACCUACAGAUUCAUGUCUACACUCUUAGAAGGCUAGUCUAUACAUAUACACCAAUAAAUAUAAAUACACACACAUACAUAUACACCUACAUACAAAU